CAGCUCCCUGCCCCUGUGCUGUGUCCCACCUGGGUGAGGGGCCCUGGCUCUGCCUGCACUGUGGGUCCCCUGGCCCCGGGUCCCCCUGCGAAGGCAGCUGCGUGCCGGGCCAGGUGUCCCCACACAAGCGAGGGAGGGAGCCGCGGGCGCUCCGGCCUGGCCGCUCCGGACUCCUCAGGAGGCUGACCCUGCAGAAGUCUGCCCGGCCCACCAUGCGCUUUGCUUUUCCUGCCUAGCAGCGUAGACUCAUAACGAUGCGUCUCCAAGAAAGCCUGGCUGGCUGAGACGUGCAGGUGCUUCCUUCCGGACCCAAGAUCACAAUGACCUUGGAAGACUAGACCCGUUCCCCCUCGAUGGACAGAGCCAUGGAGAUGGGCUCUGGGCACAGCAGGUGGGCUUUCCGCAAGGCAAAGGCCCCACCGUCCGGACACCGCUGGGGAGAAGGCCGGCCACCCACUUCCUUCCAAGGAGUUCGGCUGAGCAAGACUACUGGAGAAAAGGCUGGGUAUGACGUCACCAGGAGGGGGCCCCAGGAGAGCGCCUGACUCCUGGGGGACCGUGACUAAAGUCCUGGACGUGUCCCAAAUGGCCCUGUCACCUGCAGCACUGCAGGGUUGCUCGGCAGGGCCCAGCUCUGGACCGCGGCCCCCUCUGGAGCAGGUGCACACAUUCACAAGGAGGCCCAGCGGUAGCUCCGCCUCCUUGGGAACCAGCCUUCCUGCGGGGGGGGGGGGCUCGCCUCUGGCCCAGCCUCCGCCCCCCUGACCCUCCUUUUGUUUGUGUGGCUCCGGUCCAAGGGCUCCCCC